rnacentral:rRNA from 1 species
AUGGCGACGCAGCCGCUUCUGCCGCCGGAGCAGCGCACGCUGCGCGCGGCGCUGGACCAGCGGGGGCUCGCGGAGCCGCUGCUGUCGUCCUACUGGAGCGACGGCCACUACGACGCGCGGGGCGAUGGGCCCCUUCGGCGGGCGGCGGGGGCGGUGUGCGCGGCCGGCAGGGAGCUGUGGACGUUCUCGCGCAAUGACCCCAGGAAGCCCGUGUACGCGGCCAAGGUGGCCACGGCGCUCGCGCUCAUCACGCUGCUCGUCUUCCUCCGCGAGCCCAGCGACAUUGUCAGCCACUCCGUCUGGGCCAUCCUCACCGUCGUCGUCGUCUUCGAGUUCAGCAUCGGUGCAACCUUGAGCAAAGGCCUUAACAGGGGAUUGGGGACUCUGACGGCAGGCGGGCUUGCUCUAGCAGUUGCUGAAUCGGCUAGGCACAUGGGCGACCAGGACAUAGUGUUUCUCAUCAUCACCACCUUCGCCGUUGGAUUCGCUACAACCUUGAUAAAGGUGCACCCCAAGAUGAAGCUGUACGAGUACGGGCUCCGCGUCUUCCUGCUCACCUUCUGCUACGUGACGGUGUCCGGGUACAACACGGGGGAGUUCGUCGGCGGCACGGCCCUGAGCAGGUUCUUGCUCAUCGUCAUCGGCGCCGCCGUCAGCCUGGCGGUGAACAUAGGCAUAUACCCGAUCUGGGCGGGAGAGGACCUGCACCACCUGGUGGCCAGGAACUUCGCCAGAGUCGCUGAAUCCUUAGAAGGGUGCGUCGAUGGAUACCUGACAUGCAUGGAGUACCAAAGGGUUCCUUCCAAGAUUCUCACGUACCAAGCUUCCGAUGAUCCUCUGUACAGUGGGUACAGGGCGGCUGUCGAGGCACAGACACAAGAGGAAGCACUGCUGGGGUUUGCCAUAUGGGAGCCACCGCACGGACCAUACAAGAUGAUGAAGUACCCCUGGCAGAGCUACACCAAGGUUGGCGGCGCGCUGAGGCACUGCUCCUUCGCCGUCAUGGCGCUGCACGGGUGCAUACUGUCGGAGAUCCAGUCGGCGCCGGAGAACAGGCAGGUGUUCAGCGCCGAGCUCCACAGGGUGGGCGAUGAGGCGGCCAAGGUGCUGCGGGAGCUCGGGCACCGGGUGAAGACCAUGACCAGGCUGAGCUCGCCCAACAUCCUCUCCGAGGUCCUCCACGCCGCUGAGGAGUUGCAGAAGAAGAUCGACCAGCGGUCCUACCUCCUCGUCAACACGGAUCGUUGG